UACAGAGGGUGCAAGCGUUAAUCGGAAUUAUUGGGCGUAAAGGGCCUGUAGGUGGUUUUAUCAGUUUGAUGUGAAAGCCCUGGGCUUAACCUGGGAAUGGCGUUAAAUACGGUAAGACUGGAGUCGGAGAGAGGGUAGCGGAAUUUCCGGUGUAGCGGUGAAAUGCGUAGAGAUCGGAAAGAACAUCAGUGGCGAAGGCGGCUACCUGGUUCCAGACUGACACUGAGGGGCGAAAGCGUGGGGAGCAAAC
rnacentral:rRNA from 1 species